UAACACAGAAGCUCCAGGUGAACGACCUGACAAAGAUGGAGGACGAGCUCAUGGAUCCAAAGAGAAAAAGAAGCUUCUGCGUUAACGACGCUCCUCUGGACCGCCUGUCAAUCAGCUCCGUGGAGACCAGGCAGGGCAGGAAGCAGAGUAAAACUGUGGAGUUGCCAUGACGACGGGAWCACCUGCCUCCCAUCGACAGAAUCAGGAGUGGUCUUCCAAACAGCCAUGGAUAGGCCACGCCCUUCUUCAGGGCGCCCCCUCUGGACAGUGGACAUUUUCUGAGCCACGCCCACUACCUGUCACCUCCCCUGGACACGCCCACUACCUGUCACCUCCCCUGGACACGCCCACUACCUGUCACCUCCCCUGGACACGCCCACUACCUGUCACCUCACCUGGACACGCCCACUACCUGUCACCUCACCUGGA